ensembl:miRNA
UGCCUCCCACCAUUUUUGGCAAUGGUAGAACUCACACUGGUGAGGUAAUGGGAUCCGGUGGUUCUAGACUUGCCAACUAUGGUGCGAGGGCU